GGCCCUGACUCGUCAGCAGCAGCUUCGCUUAGGCUCUGACGGCUGUCUCCGGAGUUUAAAACCCUUGCCGCCAGAUGGCGGGUUGGUGUCAGUGGAUGGAAU
rnacentral:miRNA from 1 species